AACGAACGCUGGCGGCAUGCCUAACACAUGCAAGUCGAACGAGAGCUUCGGCUCUAGUGGCGCACGGGUGCGUAACGCGUGGGAAUCUGCCCUUGGGUUCGGAAUAACAGUUGGAAACGACUGCUAACACCGGAUGAUGACGUAAGUCCAAAGAUUUAUCGCCCUGGGAUGAGCCCGCGUCGGAUUAGCUAGUUGGUGGGGUAAAGGCCUACCAAGGCGACGAUCCGUAGCUGGUCUGAGAGGAUGAUCAGCCACACUGGGACUGAGACACGGCCCAGACUCCUACGGGAGGCAGCAGUGGGGAAUAUUGGACAAUGGGCGCAAGCCUGAUCCAGCAAUGCCGCGUGAGUGAUGAAGGCCUUAGGGUUGUAAAGCUCUUUUACCCGGGAAGAUAAUGACUGUACCGGGAGAAUAAGCCCCGGCUAACUCCGUGCCAGCCGCCGCUGUAA
rnacentral:rRNA from 1 species